rnacentral:rRNA from 1 species
UACGUAGGGGGCAAGCGUUGUCCGGAAUCAUUGGGCGUAAAGCGCGUGUAGGCGGCCCGAAAAGUCUGGUGUGAAAACUUGAGGCUCAACCUCAAGCUGUCACUGGAUACUGUCGGGCUUGAAUCUGGAAGAGGAGAGUGGAAUUCCUGGUGUAGCGGUGAAAUGCGCAGAUAUCAGGAAGAACACCCGUGGCGAAAGCGGCUUCCUGGUCCAGCACCGACGUUCAGGCACGAAAGCGUGGGGAGCAAACAGG